rnacentral:snoRNA from 1 species
GGAAUGCCAGUGAUGAUAGCAUAGUUCAUCUGAAAACAUAAUGUUGAUACAUUUGUCUUUCGCUCCUAUCUGAGGCUUAAA